AGAGUUUGAUCCUGGCUCAGGACGAACGCUGGCGGCACGCUUAACACAUGCAAGUCGAACGGUGAAGAGAAGCUUGCUUCUCGGAUCAGUGGCGGACGGGUGAGUAACACGUGAGCAACCUGCCUUUAAGAGGGGGAUAACGUUUGGAAACGAACGCUAAUACCGCAUAAUAUAGAAGAUUCGCAUGUUUCUUCUAUCAAAGAUUUAUCGCUUAAAGAUGGGCUCGCGUCUGAUUAGCUGGUUGGUGAGGUAACGGCUCACCAAGGCGACGAUCAGUAGCCGUACUGAGAGGUAGAACGGCCACAUUGGGACUGAGACACGGCCCAGACUCCUACGGGAGGCAGCAGUGGGGAAUAUUGCACAAUGGAGGAAACUCUGAUGCAGCGAUGCCGCGUGAGGGAAGAAGGUUUUCGGAUUGUAAACCUCUGUCUUCAGGGACGAUAAUGACGGUACCUGAGGAGGAAGCUCCGGCUAACUACGUGCCAGCAGCCGCGGUAAUACGUAGGGAGCGAGCGUUGUCCGGAAUUACUGGGUGUAAAGGGAGCGUAGGCGGGAUCUUAAGUCAGGUGUGAAAACUAUGGGCUCAACCCAUAGACUGCACUUGAAACUGAGGUUCUUGAGUGAAGUAGAGGCAGGCGGAAUUCCUAGUGUAGCGGUGAAAUGCGUAGAUAUUAGGAGGAACAUCAGUGGCGAAGGCGGCCUGCUGGGCUUUUACUGACGCUGAGGCUCGAAAGCGUGGGGAGCAAACAGGAUUAGAUACCCUGGUAGUCCACGCUGUAAACGAUGAUUACUAGGUGUGGGGGGACUGACCCCUUCCGUGCCGCAGUUAA
rnacentral:rRNA from 1 species